UGGUGACAUUGUUGGAUUAAGAGUGAAGAAUGAUCGUCUAGCAUUUUGGGGAUAUUAUUCCAUUCAAAUGAGUUUUUUCAAAUUACAGGUGAUGGAGGAGGUAUAUUAUGAAUUGUUUUCUUGGUUUUAGAACUUUAUUUUUGUGUCCAGUUAGUGCAAUUUAUUUAAAUUUGCCUUGCUAACUUCAGUAGCUAGCUAGUUACCAGCGCGAAUGUGUAGUUUUCUCUGCCAGAAUGGCCAAUGCUGCCGAAAAUGUUAUGGACUUUUUGUUGAAGAACCCCAUUCAUUUUCAGGUGGACAUGGAAAAGUUGCAAAUUAAAUGCAGGGGUCGACCUCUGCCUGAGCUCAGCUUCAUGAAGGAUGAAAAGUUGAGGGCGUUCAAUACCAACUGGUAUCAAAAGUAUAUCUGGUUAACAGGGAACUUUCAUCGAAGCCGCAUUUAUUGCUGACCUUACCUGCUUUUUGGAAAGUCUGAGCCUUGGUCGAAAGGUGGGUACAGUGACCUGAAGAACAUUGAUCGUUCAGCUAAAUGGCAAAACAGAAGCAGGGAGCACAUAAAUGCCCACAUCAGAUUCAAGCUUCUGGGAAAAAGCUGCAUCGAUUAUGACAAAGGUCUGCGUAUUCAAACUGCGCAACAACACAACGAGAAAGUAAGAAGAAACAGGGAUGUUAUCAAGCUGCUUAUCAACACAACUGCGUUUUUGGGCAUGCAAUAAUUUACUUUUAGAGGACACGACGAGAGGUAAAGUUCCACCAACAAGGGCAACUACUACAACGAGCUUGCAGAGCCAAGUCCCCUCCUGUUCCUUGAUUUAAGAGGUGAUGACUACUCCACUUCACUACCAUUGUCAACUUUCUCCUGACAUUAACUGAAGCCCCUUCUCAUGUGCCCGCUCUUACACUGGCACGCACAUUGAAUACUUCCCCUCCAAGCACUUCAAAUCCUGUCCUGCACUGGUCAAGCCUCAUACCUCAACUCAACUCAUGCCUCAUACCUUCAUUCAAUCACUGCUGUAAUCCCUUUCCAACAUGGUGUAAGUAGCCCCCUCAUUCCCCAUAAUAUUGUACCAUAAAUGACUUUAUUAAAUGCUUUAGGUUAAAAUAAUUUUGUCUUUGACGAUUUUUUUAAACACACUUUGUUGUCUCCGUGCAUUCUGCGCCUAUACCGUGGGUCUCCAAUCAUCUUCAAUUAUUCAAGUCACCAGCCUCCACUGAUAUGAACAGAGGUCCUCAUAGAAAGUGGCACCAAACCGCCUAUGUUGACAGCCAGGUCUCACGUAACACUGUAAAUGUGAAUUCAGAUAUUUACAGUUGGAAGUUUACAUACACCUUCGGAAGUUUACAUACACCUUAGCCAAAUACAGUUAAACUCAGUUUCACAAUUCCUGACAUUUAAUCCUAGUAAAAAUGUGCUUUCUUAGUUAGGAUCACCACUUUAUUUUAAGAAUGUGAAUUCCUGACAUUUAAUCCUAGUAAAAAUUUGCUUUCUUAGUUAGGAUCACCACUUUAUUUUAAGAAUGUGAAUGCACACAUGACUGUAAGUCGCUUUGGAUAAAAGCGUCUGCUAAAUGGCAUAUAUUUAUUAUAUUAUGUCAGAAUAAUAGAGAGAGAAUGAUUUUUAUUUGAGCUUUCAUUUCUUUCAUCACAUCCCCAGUGGGUCAGAAGUUUACAUACACUCAAUUAGUAUUGAGUGUAUUUGGUAGCAUUGACUUUAAAUUGUUUAACUUGGGUCAAACGCUUCGGGUAGCCUGCCACAAGCUUCGCACAAUAAGUUGGGUGAAUUUUGGCCCAUUCCUCCUGACAGAGCUGGUGUAACUUAGUCAGGUUUGUAGGCUUCCUUGCUCGCACUUUUUCAAUUCUGCCCACACAUUUUCUAUAGGAUUGAGGUCAGGGAUUUGUGAUGGCCACUCCAAUACCUUGACUUUGUUGUCCUUAAGCCAUUUUCCCACAACUUUGUGGAAGUAUGCUUGGUGUCAUUGUCCAUUUGGAAGACCCAUUUGCAACCCAGCUUUAACCAAGCUUUAACUUCCUGACUGAUGUCUUGAGAUGUUGCUUCAAUAGAUCCACAUAAUUUUCCAUCCUCAUGAUGCCAUCUAUUUUGUGAAGUGCACCAGUCCCUCCUGCAGCAAAGCACCCCCACUACAUGAUGCUGCCACCCCGUGCUUCACGGUUGGGAUAGUGUUCUUCGGCUUGCAAGCCUCCCACUUUUUCCUCCAAACAUAACGAUGGUCAUUAUGGCCAAACAGUUCUAUUUUUGUUUCUUCAGACCAGAGGACAUUUCUCCAAAAGGUUUGUUUUUUGUCCCCCCAUAUGCAGUUGCAAACCGUAGUCUGGCUUUUUUAUGGCAGUUUUGGAGCAGUGGCAUCUUCCUUGCUGAGCGGCCUUUCAGGUUGUGCCGAUAUAGGACUCGUUUUACUGUGGAUAUAGAUACGUUUGUACCUGUUUCCUCCAGCAUCUUCACAAGGUCCUUUGCUGUUGUUCUGUGAUUGGUUUGCACUUUUCGCACCAAAGAACAUUAAUCUCUAGGAGACCGAACACGUCUCCUUCCUGAGCGGUAUGACGACUGUGUGGUCCCAUGGUGUUUAUACUUGCAUACUCUUUUUUGUACAGAUGAACGUGGUACCUUCAGGCAUUUGGAAAUUGCUCCCAAGAAUGACCCAGACUUGUGGAGGUCUACAAUUUUUUUUCUGAGGUCUUUGCUGAUUUCUUUUGAUUUUCCCAUGAUGUCAAGCAAAGAGGCACUGAGUUUGAAGAUAGGCCUUGAAUUACAUCCACAGGUACACCUCCAAUUGACUCAAAUGAUGUCAAUUAGCCUAUCAGAAGCCAAGACAUCGUUUUAUGACCCACUGGAAUUGGACCCAACUUCUGACCCACUGGAAUUGUGAUACCGUGAAUUAUAAGUGAAGUAAUCUGUCUGUAAACAAUCGUUGGAAAAUUUACUUGUGGCAUGUACAAAGUAGAUAUCCUAACCAACGUGGCAAAACUAUAGUUUGUUAACAAGAAAUUUGUGGAGUGGUUGAAAAACUAGUUUUAAUGACUCCAACCUAAGUGUAUGUAAACUUCCGUCUUCAACUGUACAUACAAAAUAAUAUGAAAUGCUCUGAGACCAGGUUGAUGGGGAAGGAUAACGAAUGUCCUUUGCUUCAGCUUCAAUUCCAUGUGCUAGGUUUUUUUUGGGACUUUCUCCCAACUAUUUUACUCCACUGUCUACAGAAAGGAAGGAAGAAACGAUGGAAAGACUAUUGUGAAAUGAUCUGAACAAAAAGCAGUCAAGCAGUCAGUCUGACAAACACACACACCAGACGAUAGAUUCGAGGAGAAACCCACCAAAAAUCCCUUCAGAACUUCACAGUCUGUCUUUUGUCAGGCUAUCUAGCACUGCUAUCACACUAUGUGAACACACGCUGAUGCCCCACAGUAGGCCUCUGCUGCAUAUCUGUCUGCCUGUCCAUCAGUCACGGCUGAGUCAAACAUGACAGCCUCUGUCUGUGUGUCUGAGAGCGUUAAAGCACAGUGUAAUCUGACAACACAAAGCAGUAAGAGCUCUAAAAUAACUGAAAGCUCUACACUGUACCCAUUGUUUUAAUAAAGCUCUACUCUGUACCCAUUGUUUUAAUAAAGCUCUACUCUGUACCCAUUGUUUUAAUAAAGCUCUACUCUGUACCCAUUGUUUUAAUAAAGCUCUACUCUGUACCCAUUGUUUUAAUAAAGCUCUACUCUAUAACCAUUGUUUUAAUAAAGCUCUACUCUAUAACCAUUGUUUUAAU